GGGCCCGCACAAGCGGAGGAGCAUGUGGUUUAAUUCGAUGAUACGCGAGGAACCUUACCUGGGCUAGAACGUAGAGUGACUGUGGGUGAAAGCCUACUUCCCUUCGGGGCAGUCUACGAGGUGCUGCAUGGUUGUCGUCAGCUCGUGCCGUGAGGUGUCGGGUUAAGUCCCAUAACGAGCGCAACCCCUAUCUUUAGUUGCCAACAGGUCAAGCUGGGGACUCUAAAGAAACUGCCUACGCAAGUAGUGAGGAAGGUGGGGAUGACGUCAAAUCAGCACGGCCCUUACGUCCAGGGCUACACACGUGCUACAAUGGCCGAUACAGAGGGCAGCUACCAGGUGACUGGAUGCAAAUCUCCAAAGUCGGUCUCAGUUCGGAUCGGAGUCUGCAACCCGACUCCGUGAAGUUGGAUUCGCUAGUAAUCGCGCAUCAGCCAUGGCGCGGUGAAUACGUUCCCGGGCCUU
rnacentral:rRNA from 1 species